UGGUGACAUGCCGUACACAGUUUGCACAGACGGAGCUACUUUUUCAUCCAAAGCGAAUAAACUAGUGAACUUAGAGGAGAAAACAAACUAAAGUAUCGAUCAUAAACCACUACCAACGUUUGGAUCGAUAUCGGCAUCGAUCUGCCCACCCUUGUCUCCUGGAUCGUAGCUGAGAUCAGCGUUUCCUGUGUUUGGAAAGAGUUCCAGCUUCAUCACCGAGUUUCUCUCGGUUUGUGGGCUCAUCUAAAGCUGAUCAGCAGGAGGAGAAGAGUCUGACGGAGCAGCAGAGGAACAUUUUCAGCCAUCUGGACUCAGCUGAGUCACUACAGAGGAAACAAUGAGCUCAACACAGAAGGACCAACAUGGACCGAGAAGUCAGCGCUCUCAGGAGGCCGACAAACCUCACAGAAGAAGGAGAGAGAAAACAUACACCUGUGACGAGUGUGGGAUGGGUUUUAUUGGGAAGGAUUCACUAAAACAGCAUCAGGUCAUCCACACUGGAGAGAGACCGUUCAGCUGUGACUUGUGUGGAAAGACUUUUUCCUGGAAGGUUGCUCUGAAACAGCACCAAGUCAUCCACAGUGGAGUUAAAGCGUACAGCUGUGAUCAGUGUGGCAGAGCUUUUACUCACAGUAGCCACUUACAGAGGCAUCUAGUUAGUCACUCUGGAAUUAAGGCAUACAGCUGUGACAUCUGUGGAAAAACCUUCAGUCGGAUAGAGUACCGAAAUAUACACCUACGCAUUCACACCGGACAUGAUGUGUACUUCUGUGAUCAGUGUGGCAAACAUUUUACAACAGACGCACAGUUACAACGCCACAUGUUUACCCACACUGAGGAAAGACCUUAUAAAUGUGAUCUGUGUGAGAAGACUUUUAAAUCUCCACAUUACCUGAGACGACACCAACAGAUCCACACCAGAAAGAGACUCUCCAAGCACAGUUACUGUGAGAAGCAGAGUGACACAGAUGGAUCCAGUUCUCAACCCUGUCAUCACUGUGGUGGUGGGAAAGUGACCUGUGUGGAAAAACUUUCAGUUACCAAGAAACCCUGCAAAUACAUCAACGUAAACACACUGGAGACAAGCUGAACUACUGCAAAGAAUGUGGGAGAAGCUUCACCACAUCAAGUGGAUUAAAACCACAUGAACUCAUUCACAGUGGGACCAAAAAGCACCUCUGUGAUCAGUGUGGGUCAUCUUUCAUUACUGCAAGUGGGCUUAAAACACACAAACGAGUCCACACAAGAGAGAAACCAUAAAAGUGCAGACACUGUGACAAAAACUUCUCACGGUCAGAUCCUUGGAGCCGUCAUGAACGUACACACAUGGAAGGAAACUACAGCUGUGACCAGUGUGACAAGAGCUUCAGGAAUCUCAGUUCAUACUCCAAACACAAACGAUCCCACGUUACUAAUAAACUGUUUCACUGUUACCAAUGUGCCAAAACAUUCACUAAAUUAUCUGCUCUGUGCAAACAUCAGCGUGAUCACUCAGGGCUGAAAUCACUCCCAUCACAGUGAAUCUGAAGAGACAGAAAGAUCCUCUUCUGGUUUCAGGGUCAGACUCAAAACCCUUGAGAUCAGGCUCCACAGAGUUCAUGUGGAAUCUCCUGUAAAGAUCUGAUGAGGCAGCUAUGAAUGAAAAUGGUUCCCUAGUCUCAUUUUAAGCUUUCUAAACUGUUCUGCUUCAGUGUCCGUGUCGAGUGGUUCGCUUUGUUCCAGCAGUUGGAUGAAGACGUUUGAGCUGUGAUUUCAUUUCCUGUAUUUCAGAGUAAAGACUGAAGUGACAAAUGGAAACAUGUUUACAGUCAGAGUCAGAUGAACUGUUUUCAGUUGCACAUAUGAAGGUUUAUCAGAGGAGGAGACUUGGCUGUUCUCCACUCACACUGAACAGGGUUCCUGCAGCUUAUUAAAAAUCUGACCUGGAAGUUAUUAAAAAUUUCCUUGUAACACUGAGUUACAGUAGGGGGGCUGCUCCGUAAUCCAGUUCAAUAACACAUCUCCUGACAUUAAACAUAAGCUUAUUUAAUAACGUGGAUCUCUUUUUGUCCAGAGUUUUAUUCAGAGGCAGCAACUGUAGUAAGAAUUGACUCAGAUCUUUACAGAUCUUCAAGUUCAUUUUCUUGAUAUUGCAGAGCCCAGAAUUUAGAUAUUUUUAGACAAUCUCAUAAAAGAUGCAUGUAUGUCAAGAGAUUUAUUCUAAAAGACACUUCUUCAGCUGAGAGUCUGAGGGUAGAAACAAACACACACGCUGCAGUUUUUUCUUGCAAGGGUGGCCACAGAGCACUCAUACGAGAGUGGGGGCCCUGUGAUGUGCGCUCUGUUCUUGCACCUGUCUGUAUUUAUAUACAAAAGUAAUACAAUAGUGAAUACGUCUGUUCAUAGACAGAGGAAUGCGUGUGUGCGUGUGUGUGUGAUUCUGAAGGACGCGGCCCCUCUUCUUGUUAGGAAGCACAGAUCAGAGUGUCCAGCUCUCCUCUUCCUGGUAGGGAGUGAAGAUAUCACUGUGGGAAGAAACUUACAAAAGAGAACAGAACAAGUCUUGUAGUGAACAACAGUCUAAGUCAUCAAAAGGUCAUUAUGCAGUAUUUUAUCAUAUGCAAACUUAUAUCAUUAAAAGCUUAUACUGACUACUAAGUACAAUUCUCCAUUGACAAUGUAAGUGCAGUCUGUUGUUUUAUAUUUGAGAAAAAAGGUUGAAAGAGCUUUAAAAUCCUUUAUUUUUCCUUAAACUUGCUGUAGGUAUUAAAACUUAUGAUUUUGUGUUUAAGAUGUCAAAACUAUUAACUUUGGGAAUUCAUUUUUUAAAGUUGUGGUUUCAUUUGCUCAGAGUUCAUCAACGUUUUCCUCAUACAAGGUGGGAUGGAUCCAUGCUUUUAUGCUGUUUAAGACAAAUUCUGAAAGCUGAACGUGUUAGGUUUUGUAUUAUGAUUGUCAUUUAUGCUUAGAAAUAUUUACUCAUAUAUGCUUAGAAGUAUAUAAUUAUUUGUAGAUUGAAAGAAUGUCUCAUCCUAGGAGGUCUGUAACAACUCUGUGUAGCAUGAAGAGGGGAGUGUGUUCACUCCUCCUCAGAGUGUUCUGGUAUAGAUCACACGUCUCCUAGGAGAGGUCGUAUCUUCUCUUGCUGAUAUAUGGUAUAGCAAACACACGUAUAUCUGUUUGAGUCUAAGAGCCUUUUGUUUAGAUGGACCACUAGACUCCUGGCACCAGCUUUGGGGAGUCACAUUACACACACACACACACACACACACACACGGUAUUCUUUGUUCACAUGUAUACCUAUGUAAGAUGUCAUAUGUUAAUGAACCUAUGCAUAUUCAUGUAA